AUGAACGCUGGCGGCGUGCCUAAUACAUGCAAGUCGAGCGAACAGACGAGGAGCUUGCUCCUCUGACGUUAGCGGCGGACGGGUGAGUAACACGUGGAUAACCUACCUAUAAGACUGGGAUAACUUCGGGAAACCGGAGCUAAUACCGGAUAAUAUAUUGAACCGCAUGGUUCAAUAGUGAAAGACGGUUUUGCUGUCACUUAUAGAUGGAUCCGCGCCGCAUUAGCUAGUUUGUAAGGUAACGGCUUACCAAGGCAACGAUGCGUAGCCGACCUGAGAGGGUGAUCGGCCACACUGGAACUGAGACACGGUCCAGACUCCUACGGGAGGCAGCAGUAGGGAAUCUUCCGCAAUGGGCGAAAGCCUGACGGAGCAACGCCGCGUGAGUGAUGAAGGUCUUCGGAUCGUAAAACUCUGUUAUUAGGGAAGAACAAAUGUGUAAGUAACUAUGCACGUCUUGACGGUACCUAAUCAGAAAGCCACGGCUAACUACGUG
rnacentral:rRNA from 1 species